UGCCCUGGGCCACCAGCUUGACUUUACUAUACACGGCCGGGCAGCACCAGCCACAGACAGCAUCCAGGAGAGAGGUUGUCACAAGCACGGGAGAAACUCCCUGUGUCCCAGGGAAGAGAACACCCCAUAGUCCCUGACUCCGAUUGACGCCCAUGUUUCUUUUUCCUGCCUCUGCUCAGCCAACUUGUUGAAUAGUGAAUAGUGAACAGGGCCAAGAAUUAGAGGGGCAUAAAAGGCCAUAGUGUGCAAAACGAAUUGUCUUCUCAUCCCUGUGCCCAAAGGCAGUCCGUUCCCCGUGGCAGGCAGCCUGGGGGGGAUCAUCCACAGCUAUCUGCAUUUUUACACAUGGACUCUUUUUUUUUUUAAUGCAAAGUAAUAGCCUAUCUCGCGCACUGUUUUGCUCCUUUAUGUUGCCCCAUUUUGCAACAAUCUUGGGGAUUGUUCAACAUCCAUAACUAUGUAUAACAGCCUGUUCUUUAAGUGGUUGUAUAAUAUUCGUCUUUUAAAAAAAUGUUUAUUUUGAGAGAGAGAGAGUGAGCGAGUGUGCACGAGGGAGGAGCAGAGGGAGAGAGGAAGAGAGAGGAUCCCCAGCAGGCUCCCCACCGGCAGCACAGAGCCCCGCGUGGGGCUCCAUCCCACCAACUGUGAGAUCACGACCUGAGCCGAAACCGAGAGUUGGACCCUUAACCGACGGAGCCACCCCGGGCACCCCCAGGGGUUGCAUAACUUCCUAGUAACAGGAACGAUUACUGAAUUCACUGAGAAUUUAAUGUAAAUGAAAGACAGCUCUGUGUUACGUGCAUGAACCCGUCUCCCCGCAAAGCAGCCUCCGAGCUGAGGACUGUUGACAGAUGAGGCCAGAGCACAGAGAGUGUGCGUCACUUGCCCAGGGUCACAAGGCAAGUAGGAGGAUGUGAGUCCCGGCGGUCUGAGUGCGGAGCCGGCCGCGUUCGUGAACACCGUGUUCCACAGCCCCCAGCAAACGCGUGGCCGGUAACCUCCUGCGUCGAGGGCUGUGCGCACGCGUGCAACCUUAACUGCAGUAUGAGUUCUUCACGGUGGAAUUGCUGCAUUAUUGUGAACUUUUCAUGGUUGCUGUCAGACUGCCCACCAGAGAGGCCGGGCCAGCUCCAGCCGAGUCCCUGUGUCGCACAUGCUCGUCCCCGUGGCUACGGAUCGUCGUAGCCGUGGUCAGUCUGAUGGGAAACCGAGGCUCCUUCCUGUAGCUUUCACCUGCGCUUUUCUUGUAACGCACGAGGUGGGACGUCUUUUGCACGUUGAAGACGUGUCUGUGUUUCUUUGUCUGGUGAGCAGAGGAGGUGGCCUGGGCUUAGGCUGGACGGCUUGAGUCACAGCGCUUGCCCCCCACUCCCGAUCUGCCGUUUAAUCGUUCGAUGACCUUGAGCACUGCCUGUAACCUCCCUGUGCCUCAGUGUCCUCAUGUGAACCUGGGAGUGGUGACAAUGCCCACCCAGUGGGAGGUGAGGGUUUAACCAGCUCACGUACGCCCGGGGCUGAGAACAAGGGCUCUGGAUGGGCUCGUGGCGAGCGGUUCACCUGUUUCCAGACCCUUUAGUGCUUGGCUCUGUUCUGCCCACUGACAUCCACGUUUUUCUUUUCUGUGACUCAGCUCCAUAGAUGUCGCAGAAAUGGACGACAGUUACUCAGCGCCUCUCAGCUCCUAAUUCAUUGCUGUGCCUUGUGCCUGAGCGUGUCAUGUAGCUGUUGAGUCCACAGUGGGCUGGAAGGCUGGAAAAGCUACUGUGAGCCCAACCAGCGGGGUCCCGGCUCCUUGGAGAUCAUAGGCUGGUGGGGGAGACAGGCAUUCAUCAGAGAAUCACAUGGAAAAACACAUGAUUACACUGACCAAGCUGGGCGCCACGAAGGAGGUGAUGCCUGGGGCUCUGAGAACCUCGCCCAGAGUCCCCUCUUGCCGGGAGGGGUCUAUGGGCUGGGGGUUUGGUGUGUGCUCAGUGACCAGUGAGGCUGACUGGGGACGGCAGUGGCUCAGGCAGGGACACGGGCUUCAGGAAACACCAGGUCACCGGCUUAUCCUGCAGGGCGGGGUGCUAUGGAUGGUCGGAUGGAGAGGGAGGCCGGCCCGGUUGUGAAGGCUGGACUGCUGGGCGUGGGCUUCGGGCUUUGAGUCGGACUGGGGUCUGUCACCCUCGGAGAAGGUGAACCCUCAGACCGCCCCCUUGCCGCUUCAAUUUCAGUGGGAUUUCUAAGCUCCUUUCUUUUCAAGCAUUCACCGAUUUGGUGUCGGGAUGCUUCCCCAGGGAUUUAGUUCAGAAGUUUUACUUUGAAAGUCUUUGCUUUGUUGUUUCUGCUACUUUUGUCUGUUUUGUCACGAAUGCGUGAAAAUAUCCAAGACGGUCAUUUGACACUCAUGUACACAGCUCUCUUUGGGACGAUAUUCCUUCCCAGUCACUGCAGCCUGACGUUCCUAAACAUCCUGGGUAUUUCGGUGCUGGGGGAAGUCAGCGCUGUAGGAGACGUGCUGUCCCCGAAGACUCUGGCCUGAGUGGUGAUCACCGUGUACAGCCCAGAAGACCAGCCGGCAGGCACUGCAGAUGCUAAGAUGGGCUAGGAGUGCUCCACGAUCUCUGGACACUCGCGCAGUUCACAGAGAAGACAGACUCACAGAGGGUCCCGGCAAGGUGGCACGGGGUACAGGCACUGUGCAGGUACGGCAGGGACCAAAGUAAAGUCCUUGUCCUCACAAGCUGUCCGUGGUCGGCGGGGACAGAAAAUAAAUAAAGAUGAAAUGUA